GUUUUUGCUCCGGACGGAGUGCAUUCGUGGAUUCGAGUGGGCGUCGUGGAUUCGACGUGAUCAAGACUUCGUGGAUUCGAAGUGGUGGCGUUUCGUGGAUUCGGGAUGAGGCAUUCGUGGAUUCGAACGUGAGGGCGUGGACAACCCGAAGGAUUGUGCGAGAUUCAUAGGAGGUUAAGAGAGGUCGAGUCCGUGGAGUCGGUAAUCACCUUGUAAUCUUUUCUCUUUGUG
rnacentral:lncRNA from 1 species